CUUGGUCAUUUAGAGGAAGUAAAAGUCGUAACAAGGUUUCCGUAGGUGAACCUGCGGAAGGAUCAUUCAUAAUAAGUGUUUAUGGCACUUCUUAAAUCCAUAUCCACCUUGUGUGCAAUGUCAGCCGUUUUCUUUAUGAAAGCGGCCAAACAUCAACUUAUUUUUUAACUGUCUGUCUGAAAACUAUUAUGAAUAAACAAUUCAAAUACAACUUUCAACAACGGAUCUCUUGGCUCUCGCAUCGAUGAAGAACGCAGCGAAAUGCGAUACGUAAUGUGAAUUGCAGAAUUCAGUGAAUCAUCGAAUCUUUGAACGCAUAUUGCGCUCUUUGGUAUUCCGAAGAGCAUGCUUGUUUGAGUAUCAGUAAACACCUCAAAGCCUUCAAUUCAGUUUGAAAGCUUUGGACUUGAGCAAUCCCAACAUCAGUCUCGCGACUGACGGAGGGCUGCUUGAAAUGCAGGUGCAGCUGGACAUUCUUCUGAGCUAUAAGCAUAUUUAUUUAGUCCCGUCAAACGGAUUAUUACUUUUGCUGCAGCUAACAUAAAGGGAGUCUGACCGUAUUGGCUGACUGAUGCAGGAUUUCACAAGGGCUGGCAACAGCUUCUUGUAAAACUCGAUCUCAAAUCAAGUAAGACUACCCGCUGAACUUAAGCAUAUCAAUAAGCGGAGGAAAAGAAACUAACAAGGAUUCCCCUAGUAACGGCGAGUGAAGCGGGAUGAGCUCAAAUUUAAAAUCUGGCUGGUUUACUAGUCCGAAUUGUAGUUUAUAGAAGCGUUUUCGGUGGCAGCCUGGGUAUAAAUCCUUUGGAAUAGGGUAUCAUAGAGGGUGAGAAUCCCGUCUUUGACUCAGUGCAUGCUACUAUGUGAUACGUUUUCAAAGAGUCGAGUUGUUUGGGAAU
rnacentral:sRNA from 1 species